GGCACAGUGGCGGAGUGGUCUAACGCGUGUGACUCGAAUUUCUGUCUAGACUUCGGUCUAUGAUAGUGUCUAUCACAUCUCUUCGGAGGCGCCCGUUCGAAUCGGGCCUGUGUCG